rnacentral:rRNA from 1 species
UACAGAGGUCCCAAGCGUUGUUCGGAAUCACUGGGCGUAAAGCGCACGUAGGCGGAUUUGUAAGUCAGGGGUGAAAUCCCGGGGCUCAACCUCGGAACUGCCUUUGAUACUGCGAAUCUUGAGUCCGAUAGAGGUGGGUGGAAUUCCUAGUGUAGAGGUGAAAUUCGUAGAUAUUAGGAAGAACACCGGUGGCGAAGGCGGCCCACUGGAUCGGUACUGACGCUGAGGUGCGAAAGCGUGGGGAGCAAACAGG